rnacentral:tRNA from 1 species
AUUUUCUUAGUAUAAUAAGUAUAAUUGACUUCCAAUCAAAAGGUUAAAAAUUAAGAAAGUA